rnacentral:misc_RNA from 1 species
CAGCGGCGUCGCGGCUGUGCUGCCACGUCCCUGCUGGGCGCACACACACCACCUCGGGCUGCACACCUAACAGUCACCUCGCGGCACGGGAGGCUCUCCAUCACACACCAGGCAGCGUCGCACGCAGCCCACACGCCAUCGGGGCGGGGGCCGGCUCGCGCCGCCCGGUGUCCGACACGAGAUGACGACCCAGCCGGCCAGGGAGGGGACCACCCCACACGAUUGGCCCAAUGAUGAGCACCUGACGUGUGCAAGCCAUAGUCACACCACGGCACGGCACACCGCCGACGCCGCCACAGCGACCCCACGCAUGCACAGCUGCAACGGGUCACGCGAGGAUGAGGUGAACUUCAUCGCGAGACUUGUGGCCGAGUCCUCCAUAAAGCUGUCCCAUCUGGCGCAGUUGCUUAUAAGCCGUUCUGGACGCCAGAGCUGACGCGAUGGGAAGCAGCUCUCGAGAGGGUAUCCUGUGUGUCUCCCGGGCAUCGUCAUCUCCGAUAUGCUCAUCAAAGAGCUCCAACAAGCCAGCCUUGAAGGGUGGACACAGUCCUGCAACGCCCUCUCACCCCCCAGAGACCCUCGAUCAUGGGCACGGAUUGAGUCUGUCCACGUCCCCCUGCAACGCACACGCCAGCAAUGCGACAAGGCUGCCGCCACCCGAGUGCGCGAGAGCAGGCCAGCGCAUUGGUAAAGGCGCACCAACAGACGUCGAGGCGACAUCCGGCAGUGCGCCCCUCCUCUGCGUCCCACCGAGACGCAGGCCCGCGCCUCUCAGACCGCUCAUGGUGGGUGAGCUCGAAAAUGGCACACCGUGGAGUCCACCGCGGCCCCGCGCCGGGCGUCGACGAAAUUCACCGCGACAGCGUCAAGGCCCUCCCGGUGCGCGGUAGGGAGAGCGCGGCUGAACAUCUAAAGCCAGAGGGUCGCUACAGGCCGCGUCGCUGCUACGUGGAAAAGAGGGGCACAGUGAGCCCCUCCUGAAACCGCGCAAGCCCGACGGCGGUCCCGCGCCCGACCGCCCUGCGACGUUGACCAUGAAUCUAUGCAAGCCGCUCGAACGAAUGAGCUCGCGACGACUGCGCGACCAUCUGGCAGGCAAGCCCCCGUCCCCGACCGCAGCGUCCUGACUUCCGUCCCCGCCGCUCCACCGCGGACCUCUGUACUUGCUCCUCCGCAAAGUCAUGCAGCGUGCUCGGCAGGUGCGAAAAUCGGAGCGGCGCUUGCAGACCCUACGCUCGCGUCUUCGGCUGUGUAGAUCACAGCACUGAGGAGAGUCAAGCUGUAGGCCCGUACCGUACUCGCUGGGUCAUGGAUUACUUGCAUGCGGAGACCCGCAAGGGUCAGUCCUAGGCCCUCUCCUCUUCAUCCUUGUGGCGGACCCGCUGGGUGUGGAGCAGUAGAGCGGGGGCUUGGCCUGCUGCGAGGGCACGCCUCUCAUCCGAGGCACGGAGGAGCAAGCGUGGCUGCUGUUGCGGGGCCGCUCUCCCUCCUCACGGGCCGCGCAACGGCCGAAGAGGGCCUAUGGCGGCGUACCUUGGCACAACUGCGGGCGCUACGAUCCCGUCGCAAGCGCCUCUCAUUUUCGGUUGUCUUUGCCCCUUGGACGCUGCAGUACGAUGAGGAAGUUGGCAAGUUUGCGAAAUCAGCAAUGUCAGUGGAGCCGACGCCGACUGCAUGGAUCAGCGAUCCGAUCACCGCUUCUCAGCCGCCAGGCGGGCAUCCCCCCAAAAUCGCGGUGCAGGAUGCGGCACGCCACAACGAGAGGUACUCGACGGCCACCGUUCCACACCAAUGAGCAAGGAUUCUGAGCUCACCGAGCGACAGGAGUCCACCGUCGCCCAGCUCCAUACGGGUCGCAUGGAGUGCGGAUGCUGCGCUGGCUGCUCCUCCGCUAGCAUCGUGGUACUCCCCCCCCCGCCCCCGCGUGCUUCUGCUAUGAGAGCGUCCGCUCUGGCGCUGCGCCGAAGACGCUACGCGAGAUUUGCGGAUCGCUCGAGGCCCAGAGCACACCUCAUUUCACGCUGUGGCCUUGCGUGCAAUGAUGUGAGUGCACAUGUGCUCCUUGCGCUGCGUGAGCCUCCUCCGUUCGGUGUCUGUGGCUGCCCCCUGCGCCCCCCUUCAGAAUGGCAGGCUGUGAGCCCUUCGUGCCCAGGCACAUGCCUCUCCGCGGGCCCAUUCCGCUCAGCGCACCCACUGCGGUGAAAGGUGUGCGAAUUCGGGAGAAGGCGGAGUGUCCCUGCCGCCACAGGCUCACGGCAGCGUCCCAUCUGCCGCGGCACAUGCGGGCAAGCCGUCCAGACACGCCCCCAUGGCAUCGACGGAAAUGGAAUGUAAUAACAGCGAGCUCCCCCCCCCAUCCCCAGGCAGCAACGCCGUCCUGACGCAGAGCCCAGGAUGCAAGAGUGCGAGCGCUGUGCGCACGAGCUGUCAAGUACGGCUGGCAUGGCGUAUCGCAUCCGACCAAAGCAUCCCGAGGCUGGCAGAGCGCGACUGAUGGACGAGAAAGGUGCGAAGAGACUCGAAACCGACCAGCCCCACAGUGCAUGCGCGCGAAGCAUGCGGCAUCCUCUCCAUGUGACCGGGUGGGCUGAUGAGGCGCAGACGCCGGAGGCAUCACGCCAGCACCGCGAGUUGCACCAGCGAGUCCUCUCCAGGCUCACAUGUGUGGCGAGUCCCCACACCCUAUCAUGCAAUGCCGCGGCUUGAAGCGACUUAGGAAGAGGCACGGCGUGCCGGCCGGGUGCAGGGCCUCAGCGAGGGCCCUGGCCUGAGGCUGGCCAACCUCCUCCCGGAGCUCAUCGGGCAUGCGCCUAGACCCAUCCCCUACUACCCGCACGGCAGACGUCACCGCCACCGCCCUCGAGCAGGACCCUGGACGCGGCCCGCACAGGUCAAGGCAUGCAGUUCACGCAAGGCCGCCUGGCGCCGGUCGCGCAGCACGUACCUGACGAAGGGCCGAGGGAGGAGAGGGCGAGCCCGUACGACGCACGGCCCCGAUUCGACGGCAGGGCGGUUCGUUCUAGAGGGUCGGGGAUGGUGCCGUGGUGCAGCAGGGCCAGGUGAGCGGUGGUUGCCUGCAUCUAUCGGCUGACUUGUACGUGGUGGGAUGGGCGCGUGGGAGGAUAUGUGAAACGAGCAAAAAAAAAAAAGAUGUUGUGUGUGCGUUCGCCUGUGUGUGCGUUCGCCUGUGUGUGCGUGGAUGUACUGCUUAUGGUUUUCGCUCAUGUCUUUCUUUGCAUGUUAGCUCUUGCUGGAUGGCUCUGUGCUGUGGUUGUGCUUCUCCUACUCGGGUGCCAUUUGGGUUUUGUUUUCUGUGCGUGGGUUUUUUUUGUGCUGUGCUGUCUGUCUGUCUUCUUCGUCGUCCUCGUCCAGCCCUCCCCCUCCCGCUUCCGUAAAUACUCUCUUUCUCCCUUACGAGCACGCUGUUGGUGUUUUGUUUGUUGUCUGACCAGCUGUCUCUAUCCCCAACUCAAACUCGCCGACUCGAUCAGUCGCUGCACUCUAUAGUGCCUCGGCGUAUGCACGACUGUUCUUCGUGUGGUUGUUUUACCGCACGGUCUCUCUCUCCAUCGUGUACGUCAACGCCAUGAAGCGGACAAAGAAAAAAAGGAAGCAGAGAAGCACAGCGAUAAUAACGUCAACGGCGAAACCCCUCCCCUACAAAAACAAAAAGAAAACAGCGACAUUAUUGACGAAGAUUAUGGUGACUGGAACGACGGCAGCACCACAUCUGUGUUCGCUCUCUCUCUGUGUAUGUUCUCAGUUCACUACCCUCUUCCCUCCCCCCCCCACCCACACACACACACACCACCAACGCCUCGUCUCUUUCUGCUUUCGUUAUUUCCGGUGUCUAUCUCCGUUUGUUUCCGUUGUUAAG